rnacentral:rRNA from 1 species
CGCGUAGGCGGACAGUUUAGUCGGAGGUGAAAGCCCAGGGCUCAACCUUGGAAUAGCCUUUGAUACUGGCUGUCUUGAGUACGGGAGAGGUGUGUGGAACUCCGAGUGUAGAGGUGAAAUUCGUAGAUAUUCGGAAGAACACCAGUGGCGAAGGCGACACACUGGCCCGUUACUGACGCUGAGGCGCGAAAGCGUGGGGAGCAAACA